rnacentral:rRNA from 1 species
UUUAUGGAGAGUUUGAUCCUGGCUCAGGAUGAACGCUGGCGGCGUGCCUAAUACAUGCAAGUCGAGCGAACGGACGAGAAGCUUGCUUCUCUGAUGUUAGCGGCGGACGGGUGAGUAACACGUGGAUAACCUACCUAUAAGACUGGGAUAACUUCGGGAAACCGGAGCUAAUACCGGAUAAUAUUUUGAACCGCAUGGUUCAAAAGUGAAAGACGGUCUUACUGUCACUUAUAGAUGGAUCCGCGCUGCAUUAGCUAGUUGGUAAGGUAACGGCUUACCAAGGCAACGAUGCAUAGCCGACCUGAGAGGGUGAUCGGCCACACUGGAACUGAGACACGGUCCAGACUCCUACGGGAG